AACGAACGCUGGCGGCAUGCCUAACACAUGCAAGUCGAACGAGACCUUCGGGCCUAGUUGCGCACGGGUGCGUAACGCGUGGGAACCUGCCCUUAGGUUCGGAAUAACUCCCCGAGAGGUGUGCUAAUACCGGAUAAGGUCUUCGGACCAAAGAGUUAUCGCCGUUGGAUGGGGCCGCGUUGGAUUAGGUGGUUGGUAGUGUAAAAGCCUACCAAGGCGAGGAUCCAUGGCUGGUCGGAGAAGAUGAUAAUCCACAAUGGGAAUGCGACACGGACCAGAACCCUACGCGAGGGAGCAGUGGGGAAUAUUAGGCGAGGGGCGCAAGCCUGAUAAAGCAAUGCCGCGUGAGUGAUGAAGGCCUUAGGGUUGUAAAGUUCUUUUACCCGGGAUGAUAAUGACAGUGCCGGGAGAAUAAGCUCCGGCUAACUACGUG
rnacentral:rRNA from 1 species